rnacentral:tRNA from 1 species
CUCAAGGUAGUAAAACAAAAUACGUUGGAGUUAAGGUUCAAAGAUAACAGGUAGUGUUCCUUGAGA